CCUGCGGUCACGUGACUUUUGGUUGGGAGCCACCAUUUUGGCAGUCAACAUGACCACCGGUGCCAGUGUUUUCUUACCGAGCGAGUAUACUUCUCAUUUUAAUUCAAGUGAAAUUCGGCUUUAUAGUACAAAAUUAGAGAGAUUAAAUAUAAGCGACCCAUAUAAUUCACCCGGUGUGCUUUUCAAGAGCAUAACCUCCUGCUCUGAAGACGAUGUACCCGACUUGCGCUACGCAGACAUCCACAGCUAUCUUGUAAGCUUUCCAUCAGUGUACUCAGGAGACUCCCUCAGAGCGUACAAAAGCUUGGAGGCUUACAAAUGGUGUCAGUCCGGCUUCGUAAACAACAUUCAACUGUGGAGUCUUACAUCCAAAAACUUCGGCAUCAUCACUGCAAGGGUUAAUCACUCCCAAAGGCUUAAUGAAAGUCAACUAAAGCCAUGGGUGGUGGUGAGGAACGACGGUGUUGUGCUGGGAGCCCACUGCAACUGCACAGCGGGACUCGGGGAGAGCUGCUCUCAUGUGUCAGCUGUUCUCUUCAGUCUGUGGGGAAAAAAACAACGCAAGGCACGAGGAGAUCAGCUGCACAUCCAAAAAAUGCAAGUGGGCCUCUCCCAGUGAGGAUGCUGCGAAGAAUGUGGAGUACCUGCAGGGCAAGGACAUCAUAUUCAACCAUACUCAACAAAAUAAAAAGGGGAAUUCCACCAAGGGUACCUCUGCGCCCCCAUCUUUCCCACCCCUGACUGCUGCUGAGCAAACACAGUUCUACCAAAAUCUCUCACAGUGCCGGACUCAAGAUGGGAAGUCCUGCAGACCUGCAGUCCUGUCAGUUGUUCGCGGGUACGCCACAUCCUAUGUACCCAAGGCUGUCAAGCUAGAUUUACCUGAACCCCUUACCAGUCUGUAUGACAAGAAGGCAAGAGACCUGAACCUGGCUGAAUUACAAGAGCGUGCAGAAGGAAUAUUUGAGGACUUGACUGUCACUGAAGAACAGAGUGAUAUUGUAGAGGAGGAGACCCAAGCACAGUCCAAGUCCAGAAUUUGGUUUGAUCAAAGGAGUGGUAGGGUGACAGGAUCUACCUUCAGAGCAGCAACAAGAACAGACCUCAGAAAGCCAGCCGUGUCUCUCAUAAGACAGAUAUGUGACCCAAAGUCCCAUGUUUUCAGCAGUGAGGCUACCAGGUAUUCAUGGGCAGAGAAUUCCAGCCAAUGUCAACAUGCAGUUGAACAUCCUAACAUACUCCAAAUAGCAUCCCAAAAGUUUCUGCCUUGUUGUAAGGUGUCAGCUGAUGUUCAUCAUCCCAAAAGUAAUGGGCAUAUGCAUUUGAUUACUUAUUGUAUGAAACAUUGUGACAUGUGCAUCAGCAGACACCUUACAAUACAGCUGUAUCAUGUGGGAUGAUAUAUGCCACAUCUUCAGGAAGGUACUGACAAGUCAAGGGUAGUGUGUGUGAGCAUUACAACUGCAUGUUGAAAUCAGCUGGAAUUUCCCUGUAAACUAAAAUAGGGUGUGCAGUGUGUAAUCUCUUCUAUGUAUGUGUUAACUUACUUACGUACAACAUAUGGUGUACAAGAAAAUUAGUGUGAGGUGAAUGAACAGAGAGGGUAAAUGCAGUAAGUACUAGGCUAUUCUUUAAAAAGAAGUGUAAAACCAAGUACAGCAUUAAACAUUUGUAAAGGGCAGGGAGGUAGCAAUGUGGGGUGGCAUUACUAUUGUCCAAAACUCAUAUUUCCAUUGUUUCUUCAGAUGGGGAUGCAAUAAUGAAGAACUGGCCAGAAAAUACUACGAAAUGCAGCAUCGCCUAUCACACACAGACGUCCUGGUGCGACCAGCCGGAUUUAGAAUUUCACCUCUGCACCCAUUUAUCGGGGCCUCACCUGAUGGGUAUGUGUCCUGUAGCUGCUGUGGUACAGGUGUCUUAGAAAUGAAGUGCCCAUUUUCUGCAAAGGAGCUUUCUGUCAAUGAAGCUGUAAAUUCUGUUGCACACUUUUGCCUUGAACAAGAUUCCCUAGGAAAAAUUAGACUUAAGCGAGACCAUGCAUACUUCUACCAAGUGCAGAUGCAGCUAUUUGUUACCAAAUUGGCAUACUGUGAUUUCAUUCUGUGGACUGAAAAGGAAGGUGAUUCACCCUUUGUGGAACGCAUUACAUUUGACCCAGAAUUCUUUCUCAAAGAACUUGAACUUGCUCGUGACUUCUUCCUAAAAUGCAUCAUCCCAGAGCUGUUAGGCAAAUGGUUUUCUGCACCAAAACAAGCAACUGCAAGCACCGAUCCCCAGCAACAGUGGUGCUACUGCCGUGCACCUGCGGCAGGGAAUAUGCUUGUUUGUGCCUCAGGGUUCUGUGCCGUGAAGAGGUUCCACCAAACCUGCCUUCGGAUGAAAAGGGUACCGAAACAGUGGGUGUGUCCUAGUUGUAGGAAACUAAUCAAUGCUCAAAAAAAAAAAACAUAAUUACUUAGUCUUACUUACUUACACAAACUUACACUUGCACAAAUUCAUCACUCAAAGGGCACCACAGAAUCAGGUACAUUUGUUAGUCCACAACAUACACUCACAAUUUUAUCAAGAUAAGUAACAUCAUUUUCUUUCUCUAUGUCUGUGAAAGUUAUUGGCACAGUGCUUUGUAAGAUAGUAUAUUUCUGACGAAGUACUCCUAUGACUCUUUCGAUGUGAAUCCUUAAAGAGGCUAGAGAUCUUGUAUUCUCUAUGUCAGCAGGAUCUAACUGUGUUUUUCCACGAGUAAAUGCUGGAAUUUUUAAUUCAGCCUGACACCUUUCAACAGACUCUUUCACCAGAAACCCCCUGUCUGCCAAAACAACAUCCCCUGGGAGAAUAUUAGGUAAAAAAGUACUGUGUUCUGUAAUGAACUUAUCACUGGUGCGACCUCCCCAUCCAGUAGAAAUGAAACAAAUUGAACCUUGAGGGCAAAUGGCAAUUAAAUAUUUCAUGGUGUGAUGUGAUUUGUAUCUUGAGUAACACUGCGCACUGGGUCGCAAUCUACUUGGUUUCUCUAGAAAUAUUUCAAAGCAAUCAAUGAUACAAACAGUCUUCUCGUAGUCACCAUUUCUAAAUACAUAUGGAAGAGAUGUUCUUAAAGAUUCUCUUUCAGGCCACACCACUAGGCUUGGCACCAGUCUACAAUACAUCAAAUUAACACAGUUUUUGAAGUGCCUGGAGACAGUAGUUGGGUCGAUGCCAAAAUAAAAACCCAAAAAGUCAAAUGUUAAGUUCAUUCGAAGCUUCAUCAAAGUCAACAUGUAUUGUUGAAAACAUGUUAUUGAUGAUUUAACUUUGAGAAAUGGAGCCAGAUAUUGAAAAAUGGUCAUGAGACAUGCAUAGGUUGCCAGCCCAGUGAGGACAUUCACCUUUUUAUCAUUGUUAUUUAAACUAAUCUCUGUCAGGGUCUUCCUAUUAAUCUUUUCCCUUAACAACACAUUUUCAGCCCUUAGAGCUUGGCAUUCUUGCUCAAGACUCUGGAUGCGGGUACAGCAGGUUUCAGAGGUGCAUGGUGGUGUUACUGGUUCAGGCUGGACAGGAUCAUCGGCUGAGUCUUCCAACGGAUCUGUGAUGGGGGGCUCCUUCAAAGGCUCUGUGAUAUGGUCUUCUGGGGCUGCAUCAGUUGAUGUCCUGAUGAAAACACAGAAGCAGCAAAAUAAGCUUUCAUGCAUACAAUACUGAUGGCAGUUUGACAUGUUUACAUGUUUACAGUUUGACAUGUUUAAUGGAAAUCAUAUGAUAUUAGCCUUCAUUAAAUGACUGGUGUGACGUUAUUGUUUAUAACCAUAUCACGGCAGUUAACUAUUUGAAAUAAAAUAAUCUGAAUAACACACCGAUCACAAGUAGACCCAACAUGUAAUCAGACAGGAGUUUGAUCUACCCACCUUUGACGGAUGGCUUCUGCAGAUAUCUUUGCCUGCUCUACUUUGUGCAGUUUAGCCUUCUGCCUUCUGUUAAAAACCUCCAGUCUCGUUUUAUGUCUCCUCUUCUCUGGAGAUGGAAGGUAAUCGAAAAUUGAGGGGAUAAAAUCCGGACUCAACGGAUUAUCACUCUUUCUCCCUACAAAAUAAGAAGGAAUAUUUCAACACGGGUUUGUUUACCACUAGCUUGCUACAAGCUAACUUGCUAACUGGCUAGGCUGCGCCAGAGCCACACUUGUUGAGUUAAAAAGGGACAUCACAGUGUCCGUUAGCUAUAAUAACUGGGUGCUACUUCUUAAAUUAAACUAAUUAAAUUUAAUUAAACUGACCAGAAACUUUUUGUAGCAUUGUACUGUAUUCCUUCACCCACCUGAUAUGAAGUGAUCACUGCAUAAGCGAAAGCCAACGGCCGGGGGGUCCCAUCUUUCAGUCUUUUUCUGAAGGCUCCUGGCUCUUUUAAUCGCUCCAAUCCACUUCUCCCUCCUCUCCGCGUCUUUAGGAAUGCGAUAAUACGAUACACCUUUCUUUUUCCCACGCCUAUUUGUGCAACCUGGUGCACAGCAGUUAUCCACCAUCCUUGACAGUCUGCCAGUGCCUGUCAAUUUACUGCCG